UGGGUGCAGUAAGUAAUUCACUAAAAUUGGGUUCCUCUUGUACUUUGGAGAUUAAGAAACAAAAUGCAGGUUAAGUGAAGGCAGAAUGCAAACAUGAGAACUCACCUGAACAAAGAGGAGGUGGAUACAAAGUGACUUUUCCGAUUUUGGCCCAACUAUUCUCAGGUAAAAGUUUAUGAGUGUCCCGUCACGUGUUCCAGUAAGUAGUCCGGUUUCAGGAUUGAACCUAGAGAUGCACAAGCCAUUAAUGAUAAAA